UACGGGGGGGGCAAGCGUUGUUCGGAAUUACUGGGCGUAAAGGGCUCGUAGGCGGCCAACUAAGUCAGACGUGAAAUCCCUCGGCUUAACCGGGGAACUGCAUCUGAUACUGGAUGGCUUGAGAUUGGGAGAGGGAUGCGGAAUUCCAGGUGUAGCGGUGAAAUGCGUAGAUAUCUGGAGGAACACCGGUGGCGAAGGCGGCGUUCUGGACUGUUACUGACACUGAGGAACGAAAGCCAGGGGAGCAAACGGG
rnacentral:rRNA from 1 species